AGCAUAAAAUGGCUUUUUCUAAUGAAAACUUCAACUUGUUUGAGUAUAAAUCAUUUUAAUAUUUCACAAAAGUGCCUUUUUUUUGCAUAAAACUUUAAAACCUUUUAACACAGACCCCAGCAGGAAUGUUCAAGAAGCUUCAGGGAGAGCCUUUGAAGAUGAAACAACUGCAUUCCAAGUCCCAGUCUCCCUCCCUGGAGACAUGCUUUCCAAAAGGCUACAGCCACAGCACAAAGCCAACCUUGACAUUUGCAUAAAUCCAUCAGUGUCACCACGACAGCGCCGACUCCUAGGUCGCCAUCCGCCGUUAAAUUUAGAAAAAAACCAAAACUAGGCAGGAAUGGUGAAAAAAAACACAGCAAAGGUUGUAAAGGUUUUGCAUUGCUAUGCUGCAGUCAGAUGAUUACAUUGACAGGUCUCAGGUGAGCGCUUUUCAGGCACAAGCUAUACAAAAAACAGCCAUGGCUUUUGUUAUUGCCUGGAGUUUUACAACAUGACAUGUAAGUGUGCGUGAGAUUGUUUAUGUGUGUGAGAGAGUGCUGCUUGAAGGAGGAGGCAGUGCAUAUGAAUUCGUCUGUCCAAGAUUCACGAGUAAAUGCUGUGGACAAGGCCACUGGCCUCACCUGGCAGUCGAUUGUCGUAAUUUCACCGAUGUCACUUU
ensembl:lncRNA